rnacentral:rRNA from 1 species
CUACGGGCCGCAGCAGUGGGGAAUAUUGGACAAUGGGCGCAAGCCUGAUCCAGCAAUGCCGCGUGAGUGAAGACGGCCUUAGGGUUGUAAAACUCUUUCGCUAGGGAAGAUAAUGACUGUACCUAGUAAAGAAGUCCCGGCUAACUCCGUGCCAGCAGCCGCGGUAAUACGGAGGGGACUAGCGUUGUUCGGAAUUACUGGGCGUAAAGAGUUCGUAGGCGGACUGACAAGUUAGAGGUGAAAUCCCAGGGCUCAACCCUGGAACUGCCUUUAAAACUGUCAGUCUAGAGACCGGAAGAGGUUAGGGGAAUACCUAGUGUAGAGGUGAAAUUCGUAGAUAUUAGGUGGAACACCAGUGGCGAAGGCGCCUAACUGGUCCGGUACUGACGCUGAGGAACGAAAGCGUGGGGAGCAAACAGGAUUAGAUACCCCCGUAGUC